UCCUAGAUCUCCCUAAAGCUGAUUGGCAUGACAGCUGCUUGUCUCUCCUGCAAAUGAGAAUAUUGCCUGUUCAUAUCCCUUGGGAAAGGUGUGGGAUAGAAAGGCCUGAUGGGAUCUGAGCUGAGCCCAGGAAUAAGUAUGAGAAGGGUGGAGAAUGAUUUGUUGCUGAGCAGCUAAGCAAUUUGAAGAUGGUGGUGGAUGAAGCCUGAAGUGAAAAGGAUUAGAAGAUGAGUGCACAGUAAAAGGCACAGACUGGCUAAAGCCUUGGGAAAAGAGCAACCCAGAAAGAGCUUUUUGGCAGGGGGUGAAUGCUUGAAAGUAAUUUCUUUCAAGAGAACAGAGAUACCUUGCUUGUGUGUGGGGACAGGAACCUUGGUACUGCAGACACCCCCACCCACUGAAGGGCUUGUUCCUGGAGAAGGCUGCCCAUGUUGGUGGACAGGCAUUGCAGCCUCUCUCUCCUGUUUCAGCAGCUUUGGUGCUGGGCACAGCUUGCUGGGGGACUGCACUUGUGCUGGGAGGGAGGCUGGGGCACCUCUGCUUUAAGCACCAUGUCAAGGUCUGUGUCCAGAAGCAGCUGCUUGCUGGGGAGCAGGAAGACACCCAGGGAGGGGAGAUGGAGUGGCAUGGAGGAUCUGAAUCCCAGAGGCAGGCAUGAGUUUUGUAUGCUGGGGUGCAGCAGAGCAGCAGGCUCAGGAUAGGGGGAACACAGGAAUUGCGGAGGUGAGAAGAGUUGAAGAAGUGAGGCUGAGGUCUUGUUUCAUGAAUUAGAAGGGCGUGGGGAUGCACUGAGCCACUGAUUUCUCAGAAACACAUUUUCCAAAACCAAAUUUACAGGAAUGACUAUGAAUAACAGUUGUUUAGCUAAAGGAUGAUGCCUUCUGCUUUUGGUACAAGGGCUAAGACAUGUUUUUGUGAUUUUCCCAUUUUACUCCUCCUCUGGCAACCUAUGACUUAUUACUGUAUGUGUUUAUUUCUAAGACAAGUCUGUGGGAUUCCCCUGUUUUGACAUAAGUAGUAAACCAACUCCUCCUGCUGUCUCAACACUACUUCCCUGAGGACUUGAUUAUGUUUGGCUAGUGAUGUUGCUGACCGCUGCCCAUACUGGAAAAGUAUUCAACUGGAAGAGUCUAAUGCCCCAAGUGUUGAUUGCCACCAUGACAACUGCCAGGCCAAUCAGAUUUACACCCAGGCCAGCUUUCACCUACAAAAGCAUCAGAACAUGAUCAAUGACAACUUGAUCAAAACUAGUUAACAUAGAAGAAAGAAGGCAGUAGGGUGUAUAUAUGUAUGUAUAUUGAUUUAUGUACAGUGUGAUUUUUACAGUCAAAAAAAGCACAGUGAGUGUUAUGUAUCAGAGUGUAUGUUGUGGGAGUAUUCAGGAGUUAGUCAGAAGUUGAUGCAGCUCAUUGGAAAACUGCUCAGUUUGUCACUUGAACUCAAUCAGAUAAUCAGAAUGGGGAGUUAUACUACACAUAGCAGGGUGAUAACUACGUGACUUACUGUGGAACUAUGUGAUAAAUCUAAUUUCUGAUGCUCUCCGGUGCUUGUCUUAACAGGUCAAUCCAAAGGACUGUUUACUCCUGUUCUCUGGUACCUCUUUAGACCAUUACAUUCAUAAAAAAUAAAGAUGAGAAAUGUGCAUAUCCUACA